rnacentral:tRNA from 1 species
CAGAAGAUAGUUUAAUGAAAUUCCGGUUUUGGGGACCGGAGAUGAGAUUUACAAGUUUUUCUCUUUUGA